UAUGCAGGUGAGUGGCCCUGGGGCUUAAACUCUGCUAACUUCACAGUGAAUUUACCUCUAGCCAAGGGUGCAACAAGUGAUCUGGUAAUACAGGUUAGGGAAAUGGUCUCAGAGCUUGAUUGUUCUGGAAACUUCUUCUCUUUCCCUAACUAAUGCCUUCUUAGCUUGCAAAAUGCAAUGCAAGCCUGCCCUCCACUCAGAACUCCUACCAGACAUGGCCCUUCCCCACCAUGGUGGUUUCAUGCUUCUCCUUCAUGCCUGUACCUAUCACACACUCAUUUGUACCACUCUGCUUGUGUAUUAGUCAUCUAUUGCUAUGCAACAAAUUCUCCAAAAUGUAGGGGCUUAAGACUAUACCCAUUCAUUCUCUCAGUUUUAAUGGAUCAGGCAUCCAGGCAUGGCUUAGCUAAGUCCUUGGUCAGCAAAGGCUCGGUGGAAAACAUCUGCUUCCUAGCUCACAUGAUGGUUGGCAGAAUUCAGUUCCUCACAGGCUGUUGGACUGAGGCCUCAGUUCCUCAAGAGCUGCUGGUGGGAGGCCUCCCUGGGUUCCCUGCCAUGUAGGCCUCUCCAUCAAGUAAGUGUGGCAGCUGGCUUCAUCAGACCAAGCAAAUGAGAGGGCAAGAGAAAGAGAGAGAGAGAGCUAUCAAGAUGGAAGUCACAGUUAUUUGUAACCUAAUCACAGAAGUGACAUCCUAUCACUUUUGUCAUAUUCCAUUCAUCAGAAGCAAUUCACUAGGUCCAGUCUAUAUUCAUGGGUAGGGAAUUACACAAGGGCAUGAAUAUCGGGAGACAGGGAUCACUGGAAACCUUGUCAAAAGCCACCUACCACAAUUGUCACUCCUUCUCAUUGCCUGUUGCCCUGCCUGCCUCUGCCAUUCCAUUAUGAGCUCCUUGAAGACAAGGACCACAUUUUAUUCUGUGCUUCUUGUGCCUGUUAAGUGAAUGGAUGAUGAAUAAAUGAGUGAUUACUCAAAGUAGCAGAAACAGAACCAAAAGCAAGUGCAUCAUUUUACUUAAAAGAGAUUGCUAUUUAUUGUCUUCUGACCCAGCCAUUUCACUUCUAGAAAGUUAAGAAAAUAAUCAAGAAUAUAAUUACAAGAGUAUAUUAAGAAACUUUAAGGUCAGGAGCAGUGGCUCACCACUGUAAUCCCGGCACUUUGGGAGGCCGAAACAGGUGGAUCACUUGAGGUCAGAGAUUCGAGACUAGUCUGGUCAACAUGGCAAAACCCCAUCUCUACUAAAAAUGCAAAAAUUAGCUGGGCAUGGUGGCACAUGCCUGUAAUCCAAGCUAUACGGGAGGCUGAGGCCUGAGAAUAGCUUGAACCCAGGAGAAGGAGGUUGCAGUGAACCGAGAUUGUGCCCCUGCACUAAGCCUGGGCAACAGAGUGAGACUGUGUCUCAAAAAAAAAAAAAAAAAA
rnacentral:lncRNA from 1 species